GUGUGAUUCGUCACACUAUCAUUAACUGAAUCCAUAGGUUAAUGAGGCGAACCGGGGGAACUGAAACAUCUAAGUACCCCGAGGAAAAGAAAUCAACCGAGAUUCCCCCAGUAGCGGCGAGCGAACGGGGAGCAGCCCAGAGCCUGAAUCAGUGUGUGUGUUAGUGGAAGCGUCUGGAAAGGCGCGUGAUACAGGGUGACAGCCCCGUACACAAAAAUGCACAUGCUGUGAGCUCGAUGAGUAGGGCGGGACACGUGGUAUCCUGUCUGAAUAUGGGGGGACCAUCCUCCAAGGCUAAAUACUCCUGACUGACCGAUAGUGAACCAGUACCGUGAGGGAAAGGCGAAAAGAACCCCGGCGAGGGGAGUGAAAAAGAACCUGAAACCGUGUACGUACAAGCAGUGGGAGCACGCUUAGGCGUGUGACUGCGUACCUUUUGUAUAAUGGGUCAGCGACUUAUAUUCUGUAGCAAGGUUAACCGAAUAGGGGAGCCGAAGGGAAACCGAGUCUUAACUGGGCGUUAAGUUGCAGGGUAUAGACCCGAAACCCGGUGAUCUAGCCAUGGGCAGGUUGAAGGUUGGGUAACACUAACUGGAGGACCGAACCGACUAAUGUUGAAAAAUUAGCGGAUGACUUGUGGCUGGGGGUGAAAGGCCAAUCAAACCGGGAGAUAGCUGGUUCUCCCCGAAAGCUAUUUAGGUAGCGCCUCGUGAAUUCAUCUCCGGGGGUAGAGCACUGUUUCGGCAAGGGGGUCAUCCCGACUUACCAACCCGAUGCAAACUGCGAAUACCGGAGAAUGUUAUCACGGGAGACACACGGCGGGUGCUAACGUCCGUCGUGAAGAGGGAAACAACCCAGACCGCCAGCUAAGGUCCCAAAGUCAUGGUUAAGUGGGAAACGAUGUGGGAAGGCCCAGACAGCCAGGAUGUUGGCUUAGAAGCAGCCAUCAUUUAAAGAAAGCGUAAUAGCUCACUGGUCGAGUCGGCCUGCGCGGAAGAUGUAACGGGGCUAAACCAUGCACCGAAGCUGCGGCAGCGACGCUUAUGCGUUGUUGGGUAGGGGAGCGUUCUGUAAGCCUGUGAAGGUGUACUGUGAGGUAUGCUGGAGGUAUCAGAAGUGCGAAUGCUGACAUAAGUAACGAUAAAGCGGGUGAAAAGCCCGCUCGCCGGAAGACCAAGGGUUCCUGUCCAACGUUAAUCGGGGCAGGGUGAGUCGACCCCUAAGGCGAGGCCGAAAGGCGUAGUCGAUGGGAAACAGGUUAAUAUUCCUGUACUUGGUGUUACUGCGAAGGGGGGACGGAGAAGGCUAUGUUGGCCGGGCGACGGUUGUCCCGGUUUAAGCGUGUAGGCUGGUUUUCCAGGCAAAUCCGGAAAAUCAAGGCUGAGGCGUGAUGACGAGGCACUACGGUGCUGAAGCAACAAAUGCCCUGCUUCCAGGAAAAGCCUCUAAGCAUCAGGUAACAUCAAAUCGUACCCCAAACCGACACAGGUGGUCAGGUAGAGAAUACCAAGGCGCUUGAGAGAACUCGGGUGAAGGAACUAGGCAAAAUGGUGCCGUAACUUCGGGAGAAGGCACGCUGAUAUGUAGGUGAAGUCCCUCGCGGAUGGAGCUGAAAUCAGUCGAAGAUACCAGCUGGCUGCAACUGUUUAUUAAAAACACAGCACUGUGCAAACACGAAAGUGGACGUAUACGGUGUGACGCCUGCCCGGUGC
rnacentral:rRNA from 1 species